UACAGAGGUCCCAAGCGUUGUUCGGAUUCACUGGGCGUAAAGGGCGCGUAGGCGGUCUUGUAAGUCUCGUGUGAAAUCCCUCGGCUUAACUGAGGAACUGCACGGGAUACUGCUUGACUUGAGUUCGGGAGAGGGAAGCGGAAUUCCGGGUGUAGCGGUGAAAUGCGUAGAUAUCCGGAGGAACACCGGUGGCGAAGGCGGCUUCCUGGACCGACACUGACGCUGAGGCGCGAAAGCUAGGGGAGCAAACGGG
rnacentral:rRNA from 1 species